AGACAGUGCCAGUGCGAAGAGAGCAGGCAGAUCGUAAAGACGCCGUGAAUCCAUCCAUGGAGGCUCGAGCCGCGCCAUCCUUGGCGCGGACGCUUU
rnacentral:ncRNA from 1 species